CAUUUGAGUGGUGAAGCAAAUAGAAUUGCUGACAUGCUUUCUAGGUGGGAUAUGGAUCCCGGUGUUAGUACAGAGUUUUUAAAGCUGGCUCGUGUCAAUGCGUGGAAAGAAAUUGAAUUGGAUGAUGAUCUGUUUCAUUUUACUUCACCUUGGUGAUUUUUCUUUGAUAUUUGUUUAUUGUAGAUACUGAGCUAUGUAAGUUACAGAAAGACACGGAGUUAAGUAAAAAAUCUGCGUUUGCAGAAGGAACUUACAAGAAUUUGAAAGUGCAAUUUGUUUCUUACUUUUUAUUUUGCACAUAUUUUAAUAUGUCACCUUUGCCUACUUCUGUAAAUACUCUUUGUUUAUAUGGAAAUUUUUUUGAGUAGGAGUUUUAAGAGUGUAGCUUCAAUUCAAAAUUAUAUUAGUGGUGUCAAGACUUUACAUUUGUUAUUAGGAUUUGAGUUUCCAACGGAAGAUUGGUUUUCCAUAAAAUUAUUGUUUAGAGGGUUGUCUCGUCAAAAUCAUCAUAUGCCUCGCAGAGCUCUGCCUAUUACUCCACAGAUUCUUUUGAAAAAUAUGUGAAUUUUUAGAUAUGUCUAAUCCGUCAGAUGUCACUAUCUGGUGCUGUUUUUUGUUUGUUUUUUUUCUUAUGGUUAGAAAGUCUAAUUUAGUUCCAACUUCGGCAAAGAAUUUUGAUCCACAC
rnacentral:lncRNA from 1 species